UACGGGGGGGGCAAGCGUUGUUCGGAAUUACUGGGCGUAAAGAGCUCGUAGGCGGUCUGUCACGUCGGCUGUGAAAUCCCGAGGCUCAACCUCGGGUCUGCAGUCGAUACGGGCAAACUAGAGUAUUGCAGGGGAGACUGGAAUUCCUGGUGUAGCGGUGAAAUGCGCAGAUAUCGGGAGGAACACCGGUGGCGAAGGCGGUUCUCUGGGCCUUACCUGACGCUGAGGAGCGAAAGCGUGGGGAGCGAACAGG
rnacentral:rRNA from 1 species